rfam:Chloroflexi bacterium RBG_13_56_8b RBG_13_scaffold_13008, whole genome shotgun sequence.
UAAUAGAAUAAAACAUUUCCUGAGACAGCGGGUGCCUUUAGGGGCUCAAAAUGAAUGCCUGCCGAGGACAAAAAGGAUUUUAAUGUAGGUCCUUGUGCGGCAGGCGCAAGGACUUACUUUUUAGGAGG